rnacentral:rRNA from 1 species
CAUGGUGACAAUAGCGCAGGUGAACACCUCUUCCCAUUCCGAACAGAGAAGUUAAGCCCUGUAACGCCAAUGGUACUGCGGUAAUACGUGGGAGAGUAGGUAAUCGCCAGUU